rnacentral:lncRNA from 1 species
CUUUUUUUUUUUUUUUUUUUUUUUUUUUUUUGUCUUUGUCUUUUUGCCAUUUCUUAGGCCGCUCUCGAGGCAUAUGGAGGUUCGCAGGCUAGGGGUCGAAUCGGAGCCAUAGCCAUUGGCCUACGCCAGAGCCACAGCAACAUGGGAUCCAAACCGCAUCUGCAACCUACACCACAGCUCACGGCAAUGCCAGAUCCUUGACCCACUGAGCAAGGCCAGGGAUUGAAUGCGUAACCUCAUGGUUCCUAGUCGGAUUCGUUAACCACUGAGCCACGACGGGAACUCCUCACCUUGUUCUUACACAGGCCUUAGCUCUGUCUGCAGCCAGAACACAACCCACCCACCUCCAGCUGAGCUUUAACCCCAGGACUCACUGAUGGGUCUGCUGAAGGAAGCGGUCUCGUGGCCAACUCCGCCACCUCUCAAGCAGGUGGCAUUUCCAGCAGCACCCCAUGAAAUUAUGCUGUGGUGUUGGGGAGGGGGGCAAGUUGGCAGGGCUACCCACAUGUGGAAAAUCUGGGGUAGGGUGGACCCAGCUCACCCCUGGAAAGGAACUUUGAGCACAAAACCAGAGAGAGGGCCAGAGAGGAUGUGCCAUCUGGGCAGACACAGGACCCCCGAACCCAGUCCUUGAGCUUGUGGUAGGGUCAUGCUUGACACCAGCCCAGCAAAGCCACGUCCUAAAACCAAAGAGGGAGCAGUCCGAGAGGCAGGAUCGCUGUCUUCGGGGAGCAGAGGACUUCUGUGUGCUCCAGCCCCUCCCCACCUCCCUGCCCCAAGGAUCUCAUGGCCGGACGUUGCAGGCUUCUCCCCUUCAGUGAAAAGUUUGGGGUCUUUGCUUAAUGAGGUCAGGAUAUUUGGCGCAGACAGCAGGCAGGAUGGAGAAGGAGGGGCCACAGGGUGGGUAAAGCCUUGCUCUCUGCCUUUUUUGGCUCCAACCUGACUGCAUCACCCCACUUCAUGCUUCCUUCUGAGUUUGCCUACGACAAGGAAAGCUUCCACCAGGAAAUCCCCUCUCAGCCACCCCAUGGGCCCCGGUGAGUGGGUGUAGGUGCCACGGACAGGGUGGGGAGUGGCAAGCCCAUGACACGGCUGGUGCCCCACCCUCCCCACGUCUCUCACAGCCUCACCCCUGUUGUCUGGAAAAGGAGCAUCUCAAGAACAGAGCCGCCUUGCGUUCCAGGAGAAUGCACUCUUUCUCUGCUAUCUAAUGGCGCUCUGGCCAAAAAAAUGUGCAUCUCCCUGCCUUCCGUUCUUCCUCCUCGAGGGCCUCAUGGUGUCCUUUAUCAGCCCACAUUGCCGAGCUCCGGGAAACAGGUGAGUUAUGUCCACUGGGAGCAGACUCCUCCCUGUGGCGUCCCCAGAUCUCGGCAUCUGGGGCCAAGUCCCUCCUCCUCUGCCCCAGGCCUGCCACCUCCCAUGAGUCACUCAGGUAACCAGGAGGGCAACCACAGGAGGAAAACCACCAUCGUUGCCCUGCGGGGCAGUCCCCACUCGGGGCAGAGUAGAGCCGGGCACUACUCACAGUCCACAAAAGUCAGGCCUGUCAGAGAUGCUGGGCGGGGCAGCCAGAGAAGCAUCCCAGGACUCAGCCUGCAUCCUGAUUUGCGAAUGCUGAUGUCAGCAUUGCCUGAUGCCCUCUUAUGGGGUAAGAACCAGGAAGGGCAGAAAUAAUGAGGCCAGAAUGGUGCUGGGUGAAUUGUAUGGAAAACGAGCAUUGAGUCCAUCACGCCGGUCAACGCCUUUUCAUAAACAAGCUGCCUGCUGCUCUUCCUUCCUGGCUCAUCCCAAACACACCCUCCCUCCUCCACGUCCAUAUCCCAGAUUUGCUGCUUCAUUUGAACACAUGUGGUUCCUUUAUGGUGUGUCCUCUCACCCGGGGAGCCCUGGGUGGCUUUGGUGACAGAGCAGCUCUUGGGCUUGGGGUCCUGAUUUGGCUACACCUCUCAAAGUGAGGGGAGAGAUGCUGUGGGGGGAGGUUGCAGCCUCUGAGUUGCUAAUUUGCAAGGACAAGACUGUCCUCGGGGUGGGUAAAGCAGCCUGGUUCCGUCCGCACGCCUGUGUGGUGCUGUUUCCUCCCCUUGACUGCCUCCUGGACAGCACGCCAGGGUCUCAUUUAGUUUAGAAUUCUAGCCCAGAGCCUGGUCAUCCCUGGCACCUAACACAUGCCCCUUAGCGGAAGUGUGGGCUCCUCCACACCUGCACCUGGGUGCCGUUGUCGCCCCUCCGUUACCGCUGUAAGGGGGCUGUUUGAGCCAUGUAUUGACCCACCCUUGCUGGCACCUCCUGGGACAGGAGCUCCAGGAAUGGGUCCUUUUCUGACUCCCUCCCCCAGCAUCUUCCCCCGAGCCUGCUGGCAGCUCCCUGGGAUCCUGCAGCCAGGGUCAGCCCCCAGCACAAAAAGAGUCAUUAUUUGUAAGAUGCUCUCAUGGGUGGAGGAAAGAGAACAUGUUCUAACUUAUAGAGGCUUGAGAAAGUCUCAGAAGGAAAAUGAGCUGCCUCCUCAGAUUUGACCCCCACUGCCCAGAAUGUUGCACCCGCCCCCCCAUCCUCCUUCACCAAGCCGCGGGGGACAGAGCGUCAAGCCCAUCAGGCUGACCGAGACACUCGGGGUCAUUGAAGGACCUGGGGCACCUGGGAGAGACAUACCCUCCUCCCCUCCUGCCAGGAGCCCAGACCCCCUCAGAGAAGCCUGCUGGCUCUGCAGCUGCCAGAUGCUGAACGUGCAUCUUGCACGUGGUAUCUUGAGCCCGGCUGAAGCACAGGAACCACCUCUGAUUCAGGAAAGGAUUUGUGUAAAGGAAAAGGAAAUCUCCCAAGCCAGCCACAGCAGAGGCGCAUCAUGCAGUCCUGAGUGUUUGCUGAAAUGAGCACCGGUUGACACUCCCGAAACCUCAGACCUCUGUCCCACACACUCACACCUCCUCCCCUCAGCCCUGAGCGCUCGCUGCUCCCUCGGCACCAGCAGGGCAGAUACACCUAAGGCACUGGCUUUCUGGGCUCGCUGAGCAUGACUCAUAUCGGGGCGGGGGGAACCCUGAGAACCACCAGCUAGACUCCCAUCCUGUCUGUCUAGGCCAGAAGGCCAGUGUCCAAUUCCUUAUCCCAGGAGCAAGCAGCGAAAGUAAUACUUUCCCAAACCCGAAUAAACCAAACGAAACCUUCUCAGCCUCUGUGUUCAGUUUGCUUGUGCUGGGGGUGGGGGUGCUCAGAGGUGGUGGAGAGUCGCUCUCUGGGCAGGGGUCUGCCCUGCAGCCAUGGUUACCCAUGCCCCCCAGGCCUGCGCAGGCUCUGAUUUACCCUCUGAGGAAUGGGCUGCAGGCUGGCUCUACUGUGCAGUUGCGUGGGUGAGAGCUGGGCCCGCCUGGGCCCUCUGCUGUGGCCUUGAGCUCCAGCCUGCUCAAGAAUAGUAAGGUUUUUUUCCCUUAAAGACAGGAGCAUGC